UACGGGGGGGGCAAGCGUUGUUCGGAAUUACUGGGCGUAAAGGGUUCGUAGGUGGCCAACUAAGUCAUGCGUGAAAUCCCUCAGCUUAACUGGGGAACUGCGUUUGAUACUGGUGUGGCUUGAGUGCAGGAGAGGAACGCGGAAUUCCAGGUGUAGCGGUGAAAUGCGUAGAUAUCAGGAGGAACACCAAUGGCGAAGGCAGCUCGCUGGGACGGUACUGACGCUGAGGCGCGAAAGCGUGGGGAGCAAACAGG
rnacentral:rRNA from 1 species